rnacentral:rRNA from 1 species
UUCAGGGCGUUGAGUAGCAUGGCAGACGGGUGAGGAGCGCGUAUCUGACUGGACUCAGGCUGGGGGAUAGGCCCGCGAAAGGGGGUUGAAUACCGCAUGUGCUCGGUGCUGUGAGGGCAUCGAGGAAAGCUGGCCUCUGCGGGCACGCUGAUGGCCUGAGACAGGGAUGCGUCCUAUUAGCUAGCUGGUGGGGUAAGGGCCUACCAGGGCGACGAUGGGUAGCUGGUCUGAGAGGGUGAUCAGCCACACUGGGACUGCGACACGGCCCAGACUCCUACGGGAGGCAGCAGUGGGGAAUUUUGCGCAAUGGGCGCAAGCCUGACGCAGCAACGCCGCGUGCAUGACGACGCCUUUCGAGGUGUAAAGUGCUGUCGACCGGGACGAAGGGGCGAGGGUGAACAGCUUUCGCGCAUGACGGUACCGGUGGAGGAAGCCCCGGCUAACUCCGUGCCAGCAGCCGCGGUAGGACGGAGGGGGCGAGCGUUGUUCGGAAUUACUGGGCGUAAAGCGCGCGUAUGCGGUGCAGCAAGUGGUGCGUGAAAGCCCUCGGCUUAACCGGGGACGGGCGUGCCAAACUGUUGGACUGGAGUGCCGGAGGGGGAGGCUGAAUUCCUGGUGGAGCGGU